GAACACUAGUCACUGGGUUCCACAGUUCUCUUCUGUGACCCACGGCUUCUAAUAGAGCUAUAACACUCACCACAUGGCCCAAGAUUCCAUUCCUUGGAAUCCGUGAAGCCAAGAACCUCAGGUCAGAGAACACGAGGCUUGCCACCAUCUUUGAAGUGGCCCGCUGCCAUUUUGGAAGCGCCCAUCACCAUCUUAGGAGCUCUGGAAGCAAGGACCCCCUGUUGGUCAAAUCCAAAGACGGGGAGCCUAUGGAUACUGAAGGCCAACUGUACUACAGGGUUAGAAGCAUAAGUCAGUGGAAGACAGAAGAGGCCAAUCUGCUUCUCCAUCAACCCAUUAGGCAAUGACAAAACUGCAACAAUACUGAGCUGAGAAAAG